GAUUUCCUUAGUGAAGAAGUAAAGAAUUUUCCGAAAAUGUUUUGGCGUGGAAAGGGCGGUAAGGGGUUGGAAAAGGGAGGAGCAAAAUGACACUGUAAGAUCCUCCGGGACAACAUCCAAGGUAUCAUGAAGCCGGCCAUUCGUCGUCUGGCUCGCGGUGGUGGAGUGAAGCGUAUCUCCGGCCUCAAGAUCUUUCUCGAGAACGUGAUCCGCGAUGCUGUUACCUACACCGAACAUGCUCGCCGGAAGACGGUCAUGGCAAUGGACGUUGUGUAUACUCUCAAGAGACAGGGUCGCACUCUGUACGGAUUCGGCGGUUAGGUUUUGAAAUCUUCUAUGUAUAUUUUGUUGGUGUUUCGG